GGCCCAAAAUGCAUGGUGCAAUCUAUUUUUGUCCCUAAUUUUACAUUAGGGAGGGGGUGUAGAAGCAUCUGGAUGGUGCUCAUGAUUAAAGGCCAUUGGGCCAGGUACUAGGCCCAUUAACAAAAUAAAAUGGGGGAAGAGAUUGAACUUAGCCUCAUUCUUACGCUCUCUCUCUGUCCCAGUCUCCUUAUCAUGUUUCUGCUUGCUAGAAUCUCCUCUGCCGUGUCGGAAAUGCCCUUUGGCAGCGACGCAACCCAAAACAACCUCUAACCUACAUCAAAAUGAUGUUAACUCCACCCUCUCCCAGAAUCUCACCUUAAACAAAUUAGAAAAACUACCCUACCUCUUGAAUCUAAACAAGAUCCAUAAAACCAUGAUCUUUAGAAUUAAAAUUAAAUGGUGGUGGAGUGAAUAAUCAUGCAAUUACCUUAGGUUUUUCACUCAGGACAUCACACACGACAAUGUGAUAAUAAGUAUUUGAAGAACAAAUGAAGGAUUGAAGCUUGAAAACCUACCAAUGAAGCUGAGCUUUGCUCCAGUGGAUGUUGCCAAUAGAUUAAAAAAGAUCAGGUUGAACAACUGGUGGUGCAUGUAAUUGCAGGCAUUGAUGUGGGUUUGUGCAUGAAGUUUGGUGGUUUGUCAUGCCAACGUACAUGGCCCACCAUGAUUUUGGGCAUGGAAUACACAUGGAGGCACAUGGUCAAAAGAUGAUGGAUGAAGAUGAAGAAGACUGGGAGACUAGAGGAGAAGUAGGUCUAGAGUCAAUGUUAGUGUUAGGGUCAUACUUUGGUCAACUAUUUGACCAAAAGUCAACUGUGAGUCAAACUUGGAUUUUUAAUGUAUUAAUCUUGUAAUAAUAUUUUCCUUGUAUUUUGGUACACUUGAAUGAAAUGUUAACUUGUAAUGAUAAAUUGUUUUUCAAGUAAUGAAAAAUAUUUCCCUCCACCUUUAAA